GGAGGAAGUGCUACAUGUGGAAUGGAAAUUCAAAGAUUCUAACAAUGAGGUUGACGAAGACAGUUUUCACUUUGAUAAGUCAACAUUGGAGCGCACAUCGCUGGGGUUCAAUUUAGUGUCAGCCCAAGCCAACUCAUCUAUGUUCGAUACAACUCAUAUAUGUCCGAUACAAACGAGCCAUAUUAUCCUUCUUCUGAGGAGCAACAAAUUGAUUAUUCUUUUGGUGAAGAAAAGAAUUUUAGAUUACCCGAAUUUUGUGUGGAGAUGGAAAAGUACGAUCCAAAGUUAGAAGUAGGCAAAAGAUUUCGGGACAUAGCCAAAUUCAAGAAAAUAGUUAAGCACUAUGGGGCCAUGAACAGGACUAACAUAAAAUUCAAGGUGAACAAUACUCAUAGAGCAUAGGGUGUGUGUAUAGAGGAUUGUACUUGGAGAAUUUGGGCUUCUUAGAACAAAAAGGACCGUGUACAUAUUAAGUCUUGCAAUCCAAAUCAUAAAUGCAGCAGCGACAAUACUAAUAGGCUCUACACAUAUGCUUAUCUAGUGGAAAGGUAUUUGGAGAUAUUUAAGGUUGAUCAUUGUUGGAGAACAAAACUUUUUAUCAAAAGGGUUAAGGAUGAUUUAAAACUAGAAACUAAUAGGGUUAUUGUAAGUGUUAUGCCCUAAGUCCAAUUGACUUUGGACAUAAACACCUUUUAAUAUAUAAUUAAUUCAAUUUUAU
rnacentral:lncRNA from 1 species